rnacentral:lncRNA from 1 species
UUGGGAUUCUCAUUUAACUUCCAGACAUCUGCCCUGACAAGUGGACUUUAAAAAUAACCUAAAUGUUUCCAAGAAUUAGUCAUAUAACUUGAGACGGCUCCAGCCAGUGAAGCUGUUUGCAUGGAAUCCAGAUCCCAAAUGACAGAGCUGUUGUGUCUGAACCCUUGGCACAAGCUGUACCACCUGCUUGCCACAGCAAACAGCUUCCCUUUCACCUGCCCUGAACUUCAUAGGACAAGAAGCAUCCCUGGCUGUAGUGUGAGCACCAGGCACUCGUCAAAGGGGUUGAAGCAAAGCUUUCUGGAAGACUUUGUCCUGUUCUGUCCUGGCAUCAGUCAACCAUGAUGAAAACAUUCAGUGGCAGAGGUCAAAGGGCAGGAUCUGCCCAUGAAACGCUUAUUUUGGAUGUUGAUAGCUGAGGACGUGAAAGUGAAGUUUGAUUGCCAAAGAUUCCUGGCCCAGGGGAAACUCCUGCAGCCAGUAAAGGAGGAGGGAAUAAGGUGAGUGGGGAACCCAACCUUGCUUAAGGUGCAGCACAGCUGAGUUGGUUUGUGACUGCGGUGGCUCCUGCCUUCCUCUGGGAGCAGACGCAGAACUCCACAAAACCUCAGACAAAUCCAGGGGACAUGAGAGAUCUCCAAAGUGUUUGUUCUUGGGAGACAUCCAAGACCACACGGUUUGCUAAACCCUGGCUGAGCACCAUGCAUAACCCAAGCGUCUGGGGUGCACAUGUG